UACGGGGGGGGCAAGCGUUGUUCGGAAUUACUGGGCGUAAAGGGCUCGUAGGUGGCCAACUAAGUCAUACGUGAAAUCCCUCGGCUUAACCGGGGAACUGCGUCCGAUACUGGAUGGCUUGAGUGUGGGAGAGGGAUGCGGAAUUCCAGGUGUAGCGGUGAAAUGCGUAGAUAUCUGGAGGAACACCGGUGGCGAAGGCGGCAUCCUGGACUACUACUGACGCUGAGGAGCGAAAGCCAGGGGAGCAAACGGG
rnacentral:rRNA from 1 species